rnacentral:rRNA from 1 species
UACGAAGGGGGCUAGCGUUGUUCGGAUUUACUGGGCGUAAAGCGCACGUAGGCGGAUCUUUAAGUCAGGGGUGAAAUCCCGAGGCUCAACCUCGGAACUGCCUUUGAUACUGGGGAUCUCGAGUCCGGGAGAGGUGAGUGGAACUGCGAGUGUAGUGGUGAAAUACGUAGAGAUUGGGAAGAACACCAGUGGCGAAGGCGGCUAUCUGGACGGUUUCUGACACUAAGACGCGAAAGCGUGGGGAGCAAACAGG